GGGCCUGAGAGGGUAGUCCCCCACACUGGUACUGAGACACGGACCAGACUCCUACGGGAGGCAGCAGUGAGGAAUAUUGGUCAAUGGGCGCAAGCCUGAACCAGCCAUGCCGCGUGCAAGAAGACGGCCCCUACGGGGUUGAAAACUGCUUUGGCACGGGGAAGAACUUCCCCGACGUGUCCGGGGAUUGACUGUCCCGUGAGAAUAAGCAUCGGCUAACUCCGUGCCAGCAGCCGCGGUAAUACGGAGGAUGCUAGCGUUAUCCGGAUUUAUUGGGUUUCCACGGGUGCGUAGGCUGGCGGAUAAGUCCAGUGGUGACAAUCCUGCAGCUUAACUGUAGAAUUGCCAUUGAUACUGUUCGUCUUGAGUUCGGUUUGAGGUAGGCGGAAUGUGUAAUGUAGCGGUGAAAUGCUUAGAUAUUACACAGAACACCGAUUGCGUAGGCAGCUUACUAAGCCGUUACUGACGCUGAGGCACGAAAGCGUGGGGAGCGAACAGGAUUAGAUACCCUGGUAGUCCACGCCGUAAACGAUGAUCACUAGCUGUUGGCGAUACAUUGUCAGCGGCAAAGCGAAAGCAUUAAGUGAUCCACCUGGGGAGUACGGCCGCAAGGUUGAAACUCAAAGGAAUUGACGGGGGCCCGCACAAGCGGUGGAACAUGUGGUUUAAUUCGAUGAUACGCGAGGAACCUUACCUGGGCUUAAAUGUUGGGUGCAUUCCCGGGAAACCGGGAUUCCCUUCGGGGCUUCCAACAAGGUGCUGCAUGGUUGUCGUCAGCUCGUGCCGUGAGGUGUCGGGUUAAGUCCCAUAACGAGCGCAACCCCUAUCGUUAGUUGCCAUCGGGUCAUGCCGGGGACUCUAGCGAAACUGCCGGUGUAAACCGCGAGGAAGGUGGGGAUGACGUCAAAUCAGCACGGCCCUUAUGUCCAGGGCUACACACGUGUUACAAUGGCCGGUACAGAGGGCAGCUACCUGGUGACAGGGUGCAAAUCUCGAAAGCCGGUCCUAGUUCGGAUUGGAGUCUGCAACUCGACUUCAUGAAGCUGGAAUCGCUAGUAAUCGCGCAUCAGCCAUGGCGCGGUGAAUACGUUCCCGGGCCUUGUACACACCGCCCGUCAAGCCAUGGAAGCCGGGGGUACCUGAAGUCUGCAACCGCGAGGAGCGGCCUAGGGUAAAACUG
rnacentral:rRNA from 1 species